rnacentral:lncRNA from 1 species
CUCAGGGCAAGCAAGGUAUUAAGUCUUGAACAUAUGGAUGUUCGAAGACUAAUAAUAUUUUGACCCAGAGAUUGAUACUUCAUAUGUGAUAUGAUGUGUUCUCUAAAAAUACUUCACUAAUCUUAUUGUCUCAUUCUGAAAAAUAUCUUAAAAAUUACUGUAUAUGUUAGAUAUUGUCAAAAUCUGUUACGAGCACUCCAUAUGAGAUAUGAAAAAGAUAAAAGAC